UGAAAUAUUUUGAGAAUUACCAAAAUGUGACACAGGGACAGGAAGUGAGAAAAUGCUGUUGGAGGAAUAUACUUGCUCAACAACCAAAUAGCUGACAGGUGCUUGAAGAAUUCAUGAAGAUCACGGUCUUCCUGCUCUUGAGGACUUUUAGAAUCUACUUUGGGCCAGAAGUCUCUUUAGUCCCAGUUUCAUCUCAGGCUAGAUUCCCAGAAAUGGAAUUACUGGAUCAAAAUGAGCUGAACAUUUUCAUGCUCUUUAUACCUACUGCCAAAUGGAUUUUCAGAAAGGUUACAUCAAUUUACACGCCCACAGCAUUGUAUGAAUGUGACUUUGUCCUCCUACCCAUGAAAGAAAUUUCAUAUUAAGUGCUCACUUAUAAUAUGAAGUAUGGAAAAAGAAGAGGGGAAAACUGAAGAGAAGGAAUGGGGAGAUAUGAUUGGAAUUUUAAAAGUUUAGAAAGCGUGAGAAAUGGAGAGUUCCGGGUGCUGCCAACUGGACACCGAGAUGGACACUAGAGAAUCUCUCUGACACUUUUUGUUAGCAGCUCUUGAGUAGUAGAAAGAUGAAGAUGUAUUUUAAUAAAUGCAUAUUUUGGGUGAUAUCUAGCCUGCCUGGCAGAGACUGUUAAAUAAGGGAGUCAAUUUUUAAUUAUACUUGUAACCUACAUUGUAUUAAUUUCUAAAUAGUUUUUGUCUCUAACUCAUUUACAGAUAACUUCCCCUAAGAACAAUAUAGUUCUAAAAAUAUUGACUUAAUUUCCAGGCAUGAGGAGUUUUCAUUUUGUUCUGUCUCUUUCUUCCAGGUCCACAGGUAGCAUUGAGAGUUUGGCCAGUCAUUUGUGCUGUGUUAGCCAUGAUUUUUUUAAAAUAAGUGUACAUUUUUAAAAGGAACUUUAAAUUGGGUCUCUCCUAAAGUUUUCCACAGACAUCCAGUUGUCCAGGUCUUGCAAUUAAUCAUGAAAAUAACAUGUAGAAAAUGAAUAAAGUGUAUAGACUAAUGUGGGAACUUUUAUUAUCUAUCCUGUACUAGCCUAAUUUUCAGAACUGAUGAUGGCAAAUAUCUUGUUGAUUGAGACUGAUAGCAUCUGAUGCAGUAUUGCCAUCAGAAAGACAAAGAUCCUCCAGUCAAAUAUUAGCUACCUAAAGAAAAGGAGGAGAGGCUCAAACGACAGACUCAGCUCCUGACUAAUUGCCACAAUAAUACAAGGUGUAGCUUUGCUGCUGGAGAGCUAAAUUGGCACACUGUACCUUCUUGUUGGAAUUAAAAGAUGGCUGGGGGGGAAUACAAGAAUACUCUUAUAAAAAAGUUAGGAGGUAAUCUCGUUAUAAGUUUUCCAAACUUCCCUACUGAAUGUUUGUUCCAAACUUUAUUUAAAUACCAUGUUACAGCGAUACCUCAUUUACAUGGUAUGUCAAAGUGUUAUAAUUUCCACAUUUCUAGACUCCCAGGUCCAAGACAGCAUUGCAUAAUGAAGGGAAAAGGAUACAAGAUUUCUAGGAAUGAAUUUCGGUGUAAAUAAUAAUCAGUGAUUCUAUCAACCUUCCAAGGACAGUGAGGAAUCUAUGAUGUAUUGUUUAUCAUGUGCUCACUGUUUUUACCCUCUAUGGAUUAAGGUACUUUCUGUAAACAAGGAAUGGGGCUUCAUUAUACGGUGGAAUAUUUUUUAAUUCUGUUACUUUUUUUUUUUUUUUACAUUUGUGUUUUAUCACAAAAUUCAUCUAAGCAUAGAAAUGGUUGUUUCUCAUUGGGGAGUUUAUCUGCCAAAACGUUAUUGCUAUAGGAAAUGUAUGUCACAUUGGAUUAUCACUUGGCACUACCAAGCCAGAACAGUGUGAGCUUUAAACUUGGUUUAGAGAAAUCUAAUUAGUAUCAACUUAAAAAGAAGAUCCUAAAGAUACUUCUUUCUUACUUUCCCUAAUAUAAAAGGUGAUUUUUGAUAAAAUUGUUAAUCUAUAAUAAAUUUUGCUACUCAAAAUCAAAAUUGACAUUUUCAGAACAUAUUAUUUUUAGUAAUAGGAAAAUUUCCUUAAAACGAACUUUAAAAAUAUGGAGGUUGGGGGGAGGAUGAAAUGAAUAGAAAAUAUUAUUCCUAGUGAAAAGCAGCUGUGAGGGAAUUAGUGAAUGAAAAUAUUUUAAGACUGUAAGGCAUUUGUAACUGUAUUCAGUUCUCCAGGCAAAUAUAGUGAUGUUUUAUUUAUUCAAUCAAUAAUAACUUACUGAGUAACUACUAUGAGUCAUGUUCUGUGUUAAUGAAGGAAAUGCAAAGACACUAGGAAGACUCGGCAAAGACUAUAAAUAAGACUUUAUCAUUGCUCUUACCCACUUUAUAAUCCAAUCUUUGGGCAGUCAUUAAAAAAAACAAAUAAAAAAAAAAUCCCACUAGCUUCAACCUUCAAUAAAAUUCAGUGGGAGUGUGUGUAUGUGAGUGUUUAUGUUUUACGUAUAGACAGACCUGUAUACUUAUACACACAUACAUGCAUUUGUACAUGUAUAUGUAUAUAUUUGCACACACAUAAUUACACAUAUGCACAAGUAGGAGGAUGAGAUAAAAAACACAUAAAGAACAUGCUUCUUUUUGUUAUCUGACACACCUGAAUGUUACUUGAACCAUAUAGAGCUUGAAUUUCCUUAUCUACAAGUGCCUCCCUCAGAGAAUUUCUGAAAGUAUUAAAAGAGAUAAGAGAUGCAAAGCAGUUAGCUCAGUGUCUGUCACAUUAAAGCAAUAAGAGAGAACUAUAGCUGUUAUUAUUUUGUUUUAUUUCAGGAGACUUCUUGGAGGGGGAAGUGUAUAAGCAGAUGAGAUUAUAAAGGAGUGAUCUCGGAAAACUGAAGUAAUAUGAGAAUAGUAUAUCCUAAGUAGAGAAGGAGAAAGUCAUUCAAGAACUGACUGAAUGGAAUCUAUCUAUUGUGUUGUUAAUUGGAUGGCAGUACCAAAGAAAAGGUAAAUAUUUCAUCUAUCUGUUUUGCUACAAGAUAAUUGUGCUAAUAAAAUUCCAUAAUAAAUCAUGAUUGGAAUUCUUGGAUGAAAUAAUAGUCCUACAGAAAGAGAUUUUACUUUGCUUGAUUUCUCUUUGCUAAUUUUAUGUGUGUCCCAUAGCGAUUUUGCUACAUGUUUUUUAUUAUUUUCAAGAUUAUAAUCAUUUUAAAAUAUGUUAAGUUCCAAAUUUUACAUUAGUUAAUAUUUAUGGUACUUUUGGAAAGAAUGAGAAGGCUGUCAGUAAAUAUUAACUCAAUAUUUAGUAAUCAGAUAUAUAAUCAAAUACAGAAUCUAUUGAUUAUGUGUCAGAUAUGGAAAAAUGACCCUGAAAGACACAUUACUUACAGCCUCUUUUUACUACCCACUUCUCAUUCCCUUCUCAAGUGGGAAAUUUAUUUACCUGGUCAGUUAAGGGUCUCUGGGUGAAGGCAGAGAGGACAAUAGAGAAACCAGGGAGAAAGUUCAGUCUUUAGCCACUUAAAAAUUAAAGAAGGCAAGAUCUAUAUGAAAACAUAUAUGUGUGUGUAUACAAAGGGUGAAAAAAUCUGAAAAGUUUAGCAGAAGAAAGACAAGUGAAUAUUUACCCAGCAUCAGAUGAAGCAUGUCAAAGGGAUAUAAGUAUCAACCUGAGAGAUAUCCCAGUGACCAAACCUGGAACCAUUUGAAUAACAAAAUAAAUAGCAUGGUUGCAAUGACGUCCUAAGGCUGCCGUAACAAAUUACCACAAACUGGGUGGUUUGUAAAAACAACAGAAAUUUAUUCCCUACCAAUUCAAGAGUCCAGACAUCAUCAGAAAUAAAGGUGAUGGCAGAGCAAUGCUCUCCCUGAUGGUUCUAUGGAAGUCCCUCCUUGCUGCUUUCUUUUUGGUGGUUGUCAGCAAUCUUUGGCAUUUCUAUUUGUAAGCCACAGCAGUCUAAUCUCUGCCUCUGAUGAGGAGUUUGCCCCCUGUGAGUAUGCUAAUCUCUGCUCCCAAAUCUUCUUCUUGUAAAGAGACCAGUGAUACUGGAUUUAGGACCCAUCUUAAUCCGGAAAGGCCUCAUUUUAACUUAAUUACAUUGGCAAAGACUGCAUUUCCAAAUAAAGUCACAUUCACAGAAUUGGUGGGACAAUCUUUGGGAGCUCUAUUCAACUCAGUACAAUGAUGUUAGAUUAUAACCCAAAGUAUAAAAUAUGUAUAUGAAUCCACGCUGAUAUAUACAAGUAAUACAAUAGAAUAAAUAUAUGGGGGAGAAGAGACAAAAGA